CCAAUCGGCAAUUGAUAUAUAAAUCAAUCAUGCCUACAAAGUGGUAGAUUUGAUUCCUAUUUGAAUUAUUUAUAUUUUUGUUGUAUGUUUGUCCCAGUAAAUAACAAUAUUGUUUUCUUAUGGUUGCUAAUGUCUUCUAAUUGUUUACCAGGAGGAGGGCCAUCAUCUAACAUUGACAAAGAUCCAGUAUUGGAAAAAGUUAAAGUUCUUGCUGGACCUGUUCUGGAUGGUGUUUACACAAUUUAUGAUGGAGAUAGCAGUCUUAUGGCAUCCCAAAAUAUACCACCAAUAGAACUUCAUAAUAUUGGAUUAGUUUCUUCAUUCGUGGAAAUAGAUAUGCAAGAUCCUGCUGAUAGCAAGGAGAACAAUACCAAACUACCUACAUAUUUCACCAAUGAUAGGGCCAAUUUGAAAAAGAAGCCACACCAUUUGUUGACAUGUGAGUGUUGUUUGUCUGUAUAAUCUAGCUUAUAUAGACUUCACAUGUCACUAGGAAUUAUUCUAUAGUAAUAAAUUAUGGAUAGUAAGAUGGAUGACAUGUAUAAUUAUGAGUUUAGUAAUAUAAUGAAUAUUUUAAUUAACUGCCUAGCCUAGUCAGUAGUAACAGCA